CUUCGGGUCGUAAAACUCUGUCCUCAAGGAAGAUAAUGACGGUACUUGAGGAGGAAGCCCCGGCUAACUACGUGCCAGCAGCCGCGGUAAUACGUCGGGGGCUAGCGUUAUCCGGAUUUACUGGGCGUAAAGGGUGCGUAGGCGGUCUUUCAAGUCAGGAGUGAAAGGCUACGGCUCAACCGUAGUAAGCUCUUGAAACUGGGAGACUUGAGUGCAGGAGAGGAGAGUGGAAUUCCUAGUGUAGCGGUGAAAUGCGUAGAUAUUAGGAGGAACACCAGUUGCGAAGGCGGCUCUCUGGACUGU
rnacentral:rRNA from 1 species